GUGAAUGCAUGUGGCCCAGUUUUCUGAGA
rnacentral:piRNA from 1 species